AGUGAACGCUGGCGGUAGGCCUAACACAUGCAAGUCGAACGGCAGCACAGUAAGAGCUUGCUCUUACGGGUGGCGAGUGGCGGACGGGUGAGGAAUACAUCGGAAUCUACUUUUUCGUGGGGGAUAACGUAGGGAAACUUACGCUAAUACCGCAUACGACCUACGGGGGAAAGCAGGGGAUCUUUGGACCUUGCGCGAGUGAAUGAGCCGAUGUCGGAUUAGCUAGUUGGCGGGGUAAAGGCCCACCAAGGCGGCGAUCCGUAGCUGGUCUGAGAGGAUGAUCCGCCACACUGGAACUGAGACACGGUCCAGACUCCUACGGGAGGCCGCAGUGGGGAAUAUUGGGCGAUGGGCGCAAGCCUGAUCCAGCCAUACCGCGUGGGUGAAGAAGGCCUUCGGGUUGUAAAGCCCUUUUGUUGGGAAAGAAAAGCAGCAGGUUAAUACCCCGCUGUUCUGACGGUACCCAAAGAAUAAGCACCGGCUAACUUCGUG
rnacentral:rRNA from 1 species